rnacentral:lncRNA from 1 species
AUGGGUGAACUGUUCACCCUCUCAGGAUCUCCUCUGGAGUUUCUUUUUUGCAGUAUGAGAGGAACAUCUUCCAGUAUUUUCACAAGGCUUGUCUGAUCUGAGCACUCACUGGAAAAUACCUGCCCGGCACCUGGCCCUUGACAGGGCUUUCUAAAUAUUUACUUCCCCUUCCCAGCGGGCUUGACAGCCUCUGCAGGAAGGAGAUGUGCCCGUGGCUCUGUCGCUGGAAUAUCAAGGUGAGACUGUGGAUGUGGCACGUCACAGGUGAUCUGCUUAUAGCACUGCCUGCACGGAAGACUGUGUGGAGAGCACCCUACACAGAGGACUGUGUGGAGAGCACCCUCUAAUACUCGUGAGCAGCUCUAACUCAGAAGUACAAGAUACCCAACGAGAGACCAGUGAAGAGGAGAGGAUUUUCAUAGAAAAACAGCACAGUUGCAGAGUAGGGCAUCAGCUCUGAAGUCCAUUACAGGUGCAUUUCUUGGUUUCCCAUCCAUCAGCCGCACUGCGCUUCUGCCAGGCUGGCUCAGCAAGCAUCUGUUGUCCCCGGUGCACACAUGGAGUGAACUUGGAACACAAUGGCCGCACGUGCCAAGGGAACAGGAUUCCCGUCCUUCUCAUUCACUGCAUCUCCUCCAAUCCCAGCAAAGCACCAGAGAAGUAGCUGAUAUGGGAAUGCAGAGGAUACGGGCUCCGGCCAAACCACAGGACUGGGGCCAGCCUUGUUUCCCAGAUGCGUGCUACAGGGACUGUCCCUGGCGUUGGCAGAUGUGACUGGUGACGGCAGCCACAAAGCAGGAAGAAGACACUUAGUGCUUCGUAUUUAUCUGCCCGUUUGGCUGACAGAAGAGCCAUCGGGCGAUUUGUGUUCUGCCAUUCCUGCUGUGCAAGCUUGGGGAAAGCACAUGACCUCUCUGGGCCUUGCUUUUUUUUUUUUUUUCUUUUGUAAAAACAUUUCUGGCUUGGUGCAAUGGCUCACACCUAUCAUCCCAGCACUUUGGGAGGUUGAGGAGGGAGGAUCACUUGAGCUCAGUAGUUCAAGACUAGCCUGGGCAACAUGGCGAAACCCCGUCUCUACAAAAAUACAAAAAUUAGCCAGGCAUGGUGGUGUGCACCAGUAGUCCCAGCUACUUGGGAGGCUGAGGUGGGAGGGUUGCAUGAGCCCAGGAGGUCAAGGCUGCAGUGAGCCAAGAUUGCCCCACUGCACUCCAGCCUAGGCGAUGGGUGACAGAGGAGACCCCUUCUAAAAAACUAAUAAUAAACAAAUAAUAAUGAAGACAUUUCCUGCUCACCCACAACCCAUGCCCCCGGCCUGCCUUGCUUGCUGAUUGCAGCAUUUUCUCACUGAGCUCAGGUUGACUCUAGGGUCCUCCUCAACACUGUGCUGCCACAGAUGUUUUCAGCCUGACCAACUGCACCA